rnacentral:rRNA from 1 species
GAUGAACGCUAGCUACAGGCUUAACACAUGCAAGUCGAGGGACCGGCGCACGGGUGAGUAACACAUAUCCAACUUGCCCUUCAAUCGGGGAUAGCCAUUCGAAAGAAAGAUUAAUUACCGAUAUAAAGGAUGGGGAUGGGUUCCAUUAGGUUGUUGGUGAGGUAACGGCUCACCAAGCCUUCGAUGGAUAGGGGUUCUGAGAGGAAGGUCCCCCACAUUGGAACUGAGCCAAGGUCCAAACUCGUACGGGAGGCAGCGGUGAGGAAUAUUGGUCAAUGGGCGGUAGCCUGAACCACCCAGGUAGCGUGAAGGAUGAAGGCUUAUGGGUCGUUAACUUGUUUUAUAUAAGAAUAUGUAUUUUAUGAGUAAGGAUCGGCUAACUCCGUGCCAGCAGCCGCGGUAAUUC